rnacentral:rRNA from 1 species
AGGCUUUCACGGGUAACGGAGGAUUAGGGUUCGAUUCCGGAGAGGGAGCCUGAGAAACGGCUACCACAUCUAAGGAAGGCAGCAGGCGCGUAAAUUACCCAAUCCUGACUCAGGGAGGUAGUGACAAGAAAUAACGGACCGAAGCCUAUGUUUCGGGAUUGCAAUGAGUAGAAUUUAAACCCCUUUACGAGGAUCAAUUGGAGGGCAAGUCUGGUGCCAGCAGCCGCGGUAAUUCCAGCUCCAAUAGCGUAUAUUAAAGUUGUUGCAGUUAAAAAGCUCGUAGUAGGAUUUCUGGGAGGGUGCCGAUGUCGUCUUGUUGAUUGUGCAGAGGCGCCCUUCCAUCCUUCUGUUAACGUUUCUGAUAUUCAUUUAUUGGUCUCGGGCUCAGAUAUUUUACCUUGAGAAAAUUAGAGUGUUCCAGGCAGGCUCGCGCCGGAAUACAUUAGCAUGGAAUAAUAGAAUAGGACUUUAGUCUCCUUUGUUGGUUUGAGGGAUUGAAGUAAUGAUUAAUAGGGAUAGUUGGGGGCAUUAGUAUUUAAUUGUCAGAGGUGAAAUUCUCGGAUUUGUUAAAGACUAACUUAUGCGAAAGCAUUUGCCAA